rnacentral:tRNA from 2 species
GCCCCCGUAGCCUAGCCCGGUAGGGCGUCAGCCUUGUAAGCUGAAGACCGCGGGUUCGAAUCCCGCCGGGGGCU